UUGUGGGUGGAUGUAAUAAAGUUUCAUAAUCCUGAUGGGCUGAUAGUAACCAGGAUGAACUUAACACAAGAAGAGGCAGAUGGAUGGUACCUACGCCUCCUUUGCUAGUUCUGUCAGGACACCUCUUGCCAUUGUUCAGCAGCCUCCAUUGCUCCCCUCUUCAAUGUCUGCAGGAUAGAUGCCACAACCUUCAUUGCAGCUCACCAGAUGAUUUCAUGGCACAUGGGGUGGCAAUCUGUCACACAGCCACAGAGAGCAUUGGCCAGCUUUCAUGCCCCAGGUUAAAAUGCCUAAGACCGUGAAAGUUUGGAUCCUAACUCCACCUGCUCCUUUAAAAAUCCUGAGCCAAACUUCAGGGAAGUACAGCUCAGAAAUGAGAAUUUGGGCUUCCAUUUUAUUGGGCUUCUUUUGUUACAGAUUUUAGCUCAGAAUACCAGAGAAAGACAAGAGAUCCAAGCCUUUCUGGGAUGCUCAAUUUCAAAGCUUAAACUCAUGGAGACUCCCUGAGCUACCUCGUGUGCUUUCUUUGAUGUCCUCUCUCCCUGCUCUUCGAUAUGGUAGUAAUACUUUUGUCUUCUCUUCCAUCUUCCCUUCCCUUUCCAGAAUAUUCAUUUCACUGUAUAUUUGACCCUAUAUCAUUUUAACAUCUGUGGUUAAAGUUUACCUAUAAAAGAAAUUCAAAAUACCAGGUUGGGCACCAAGCACUUCCAGGCACUCCUAAAGUUCAAGAGAAGACAGCCAUGUCUGUGAUCUGUGGUCUGGGUUAGUCUCAAAUGAAAACACUGACCUUGGUUUGAUGAUUUCACUCCUGUGUGGGUAAACAUCCAAACCCUCAUUUUGAAAAAGAAGGUUGUUUUUCUCAGAAGAAGGCUUUUCAUCCUUAGCAUGUGAUGUACCGCAUAGUGUCCAUGUACAGAGGUUAACGUAGAAGUCCUAACAGUUUUUCAGCUUGCUGAGUUAUAUGCCUCUGACUCAGUCCCACUGGAAAAAGCAGAGCCAAAGCAGCUUUCAAGGAAAGAUGCCAUUGUUAUUGUUCUCUAGUUCUCUUAUCAAUAUACAGGAUGUUGUUCCCAUCUGUCACCUUCUGCCCUGGAACUAAGAGUGAACUAUGCUCAUUACAGUGAGAUUACCAUUUGUAAGGUGGGUGGCCCGUGUAUGUAUCUCCAAUGCACUAUUAAAUCCUUGAAUUGGAGUGCAGCUGGGCUAAAAUGCUUAGCUUGUUCAAAGGCCAAGUGAGCUUACUUGCAAGGCAGUGAUGGUCCAAGAAUAGUUUAUUUUCUUCUGACUUCCCUUUCAGAUUCCUCAGUUUGCCGCCUAAGGUGAUAGGCCAGCUGAUACACAGACAUAUUUUAAUCAGUUACUUAAGGGAUGGCUUCAUGGUACAAGGUCUCUUUCCCAAUGCUGGAUGUCUACUCAGGAAGUGAAGCAAACAAAACCAUGUGAAUCUCAAACACUCCUGGGACUGGAGAAGGAGGGAGAGUCUCUUGCUUCUUUUUUGGAUCAGGGAGUAGUGCCCAGACACUGAAAAAAAGAGGCUCCCAUGGUGUACAAAAGCUUCACAGACAUGUGAAAGAAGCCAUCUGAUAUUUUAACAUUACUCUAAGAAAUAUGUUUAUGUACUUGUAAUGAGGAGGAAGUGCUGCUUCUUCAUACUGAAAUCCUGUAUAGGGUACAGUGGAUAAGAGUCUUUCUGGGACUGGUGUGACUGGGCUUCUCUAGGUGAGUGUUCACCUGUCUUCUCUACCAGGUCUUCCCAGAAGUAGGUCCAUUUUGAGGCAAUGUGCUUAGCGAAGGGGUUGAGCGCUGACUGACUGAACUGUACUGUGGCUUGAAGAAAGCAGAGGGAGGGAAGCAGUUUGUAUUCUGUAGGGUUUCUGGGUCAGUAGACCAAAGACAGGUCUUCUGUAUCUUUUUACAGCCUGUCUUGGCUUCCUUUUCUUGCCUGGUGAAGGAGGGCCUCCAUGUGCUUGAGGCUUGACUCCGAGCUCAAAGGCUGGGUUUGCAAAUGUCUUUCAGAUAUUAGCCAAAAAUGUUAGUCUGUGCAUGUGUACAGGGAGGUGUGGGGGAGGCAGCGUUGCUCCCUUGUGCAGUCACACAGAACAAGCCACAAUCUGGCGUGCUUUUGGUUAUUAAUAGCUAGAAUAUGGAAGUAGGGCAAAUAUCCAUCCUGAUUUAUCCUAACCUGAAUAAUCCAUAUAGUCUUGAGGCCAUAGAAUAGUGAUUCUGUCUCUAGCUGUCACUUUCCUGAAUUUUAGGAAGAGAUAUCUGUGACCAUUUUGUGUCACGAUGAUCAAUGUCACAUUAAAGAGAGAAGCCUGCAGGCAGGCGUGUGAGCUGUGUGAGUGCUGCCUGAUUAGGGAGACGCUGGGGUGGUGAUCCUGCUCCCUGUCACUCCACGAUGACAGAGACAACUAGACAAAAGACCCUGAGGGAGAGGUCACCCUGGCCUGAAGCUGCUCUGCUGAGGAGAGGGGGGUAGAGAAAGACACCGAGAGGCAGGCCACAGGAGGAGGAGAGGAGUCAAAGAGCCAUGAAGCAACACGGAAGGAGGCAGGGGGCGUUUGAUUCAGGAGCAGGGAGGGGGAGAAAAAGAGGCAGAGAUGUGCAGAAACGCGUAUCCAUACAGUUAACCAUUCCUAGGCAGGAAGCAUUUGUGUUCUGCUGAAGCACACACUGAUACAGGAAUAUCGGGCUGUUGAGAGUCCAGGAAUUAAAAUGGAGUGAUGAGACUAAGGAAAGGCUUCAUAGCAAUUCUGGAAGCCAGGCUUUUUUCUUGUUCUUGUUUCUAAAAAUAAUGAAUACAUUGAAUCUCGUAUUUUUAUUCCCUUCCCAGCUUGCAACAUGGUGUUUUUCACACCUAUUUUUGAAAUCACAGUAACUUUCUUGACCAAAUGUGCAGAUUUGCCAUUGUGGCCUACUUACAUUCCUAGUGUAUGAAGAGAAAGAAACAAAAGGCAUUAGCUGUGAUAAAUCCGGCAGAGAGAUGCCUGGAAAAUAAAUCAGAAGUCCUCAUUUGGUCAGGUUUCCCGCUGACUUCCACACAAACUGGCAUGAUUCUGGAGUGAAGCAUGUGAGCUUGAAGAAUAGGGUGCACAAUUGCAUCCUGUUAUUGUUCUGAGUGUUAUUCUGGUAACAAUUUUCUUUUUCUGGAUAGGCACACAAAAAAGCAAUAAAUAUUAUUGCUGAUUGCAUUUAGAAACUGCAGGCCUGUUUACUGGGAGUAAAACAAGUAUAUAGGGAAACAAAUCCUUGCCCAGAAGUAUUUAAAACCUAAUAUUAAAUCAAGACACAGCGUAAGAAACAAGAGUAGGAUGAAAUGAAGAUGACUCUGCUAACAGACUGCUUUUAUUUAAGACAGCUAAUUAAUAAUUUGAUAGAUUCAAAUCAUCUAGCAUUUUGCUUACAUUGUGAUAUGUUUCUGUUCUGCUUUGAUGUAGGCAAGUAAAUAAAAGGAUGGUUUCUACUGAGCUAAUUUCUGGAGUUGUGGUGUUAGAAUUAUUCCCAGGACAGAUUAGUCUGUUUGUAAAUAUUGUGUUUUAGUGUCUCAAUACUUUGCUGUGUCAGUAUGAAACCUCACAGAUAGCCCUCCAGGCUAGAGUGAAGUGCCCACGGAUGCAUACCUCCUCCUUGUGCCUCCUUUCCAGAACCACAGCAGGUGAGGGAGCACCCCAGGUCCCAGGCUCUUCCCUUCAGAUUUUGUACUUUUACACACCCAAACAUGAACCUUCACCCUCUUGCAGAAAGCUCUCAGCCAAAAUGAGUGCAACGCUGCAGGACCAACAAGCAUCUCCUAAUACUAACCACCACCUCGGUGCCUCUGCAGAAGGGCUGAGGUAGCUUCCCCAUGUUGCAAGAGAGCCAAAGCUGAGCAGGCAAGGCUGCUGAUGGGCACUGCGACAGCACAUGGGCAGCCCCAGCCCUCUGUCUGCCUCUGAACCCUUGUCCAGGAGCAGAGGGCAGCAACUGCAGUGCUCCCUUUCCUCUCACAGCUGGAGAGACCACAGGGCCCCAGGUCCUGACCCAGCCGGGGAAGCUGAGAUUCCCACAAGUGGAGGAGAAGGAGCAUGUCGGGAUUUUCCUGUUUGCUUUUGAAAUGCUGAUGCUGGCUAUCUGGGCGUCUCUGUGUGUGUCUGAUGGGAAGCGUGCACCAGAACUGAGGGCUCUGUGGCUUGGGUUUGUGGUGUUUGUGAGCCGAGUUUGUCAGUGGUAAGUUAUUCUUGUCAGAGCUCCAAGUAAACAGUAGACAGAUACUUACCCCUUUGAGCUGUUACAGUUUGCCAAAAAAACUAUGUCUGAACUUUGAAAUUUGUCCUUUUAUCUUCUGCCUUCCUGACCCUGCCUCUGCCAACAGCAGGGCCCUCUUGUCAGGGGAGUGUCCUCCAGGCACAGCGUAUGGAAAUGGAGGAGGGGAGUUUUCACCUCCAGAAAUCCUGUUUUGCGAGAUGAGGAUGCCUGGGUUUGUCAGAUGGAUGGCAGCAGGCAGCUCCGUGCAGUGAGGACUUGUCUGCGAGACUCUCGGUGGGGCUGAGGAUCAUUUCUCUGGGGAGAGGGGGCAGGGCAGGGACAUACACACAGUAACAGCAGCGCAGCUGAUGGGUGAUGGCUCAUUAAGCUGUCACGGCUCUAUGGUAACAGAGUGUAUGGCAUCCACAUCUAAAGCAAACACACAGGCUUUGAUCAAGUUUGCUCUUAUUAUUAUACUAGUGGAGUUCAGCCCAGCCUGGGCUCCUCUGGAGCAGGAGACUUUGCAGCUUGCAGGAUAAGCCCUGUUUCUGCUUCUACAGGGACGCUUUCAGCAGGUUUCUUGUUCCUGCGCCCAGCACCUACCCAGGGCUAAAACAGAGGGUCAGCUUCGCCAUCCUCUGAAGCUAUGUGCAGGCAGCAGCCUGGCCUUUAUCUCACAUUUUAUACCAAGACUGCCUUCAUGAGAUUCUUAGAGGCCCUACUCAAAAGUUUUAUGCAUCUCACUAUUCGGUGAGGCCUAUGUGGUCUGUGGAAGGAACAGUCUGAACAACUUCUGAUGAGCUGUUUUUGGAUGAUCCAUACACAUCUUAUGUAUGUCUGUUUACGACCAGAAUAAAAGAUAACAAACCCUACAGUGUCACACUUGUUUUCCUCUUUCGGGUAUUUAGAGGGACAAGAAAUAAAUCACAUGAAUCUAUGAGUCCUGAAUCCUGGGAUAAAAAACAUUAGCCACACUCAGAGCAUAUCACCUCUGUGCUUUGCAAAAUUAAAAACUCAGGAAAUACAUAGUAGUGCUCUAAGCCAUUUUUUUACCAUCUGCUUGAGAUGCUGCAAUAAAGGUAUUUAUUAAUAUUUAUUAAGCAAAAUACAGUUUUUCAGUAUUGGUCUUUGGAAGGGGAGGGGACUUCUGGCCUUUAGGCAUUUCAUUUUCUUUGGGGAAGGGAUGAUCCAGCUCUUCCAUUGACUUUAUACAUUUUGGAUAACGUCCAGUCAGACCUCCUGCAGCUUCUGUCUGCGUGUUUGAACAGUUAGAUCAUCUUUGGCAGCUAGUAAUAUAUUUUUGAUUUUUUUUUUUUAAUGCCAAUGUGAAUAUUGAUGUUCAGCAGGUUAUCAAAACAUGAGCAUCCAUUACUACAAAGAAACCAUUGCUGUUUACAUUUCAGAGCACAGUCUUGAAUUUCUUCUCAUCUUGAGGAACAGUGCAGGAAGUGAUGCAGGGUGAUGGAGGUUCAAAUACAUCCUUGCAGUGAGCAGGUCUGUAAAUACAGCUGUUUUAGGAAAGAAUCUUUGUGAAGGAUUGAUUUCACACUGGCUGCCCAAAUGUUGCAAGGAGUUUCACCUUUUAUAUGCCAUGCAGGUCACAUCCUUAAUAAAAGCACAGUUUUUCCUGCAACCUGUAAAGCUUAAAAUUUCUGAACUAAACACACACUUUCCGUUCUUCCUGCAACCUCCUAUGCCCAAGUGUGUGGGGUUUCUUUGUCACUGAGGUCUUUUAAUCAUGGAGCAAUUCUUAAUGUCUCCAGGUUAGCCUUCAGUCCUGGUGCUGUCCAUCUCCUGCCAUUGUCUUCUUUCUUUAAAAGGUGACCAUGUGAAGAAGCUGGCUGACAGUGAGCUGUGUAAACUGUUAAGGGAGCUGCAGUUGUAGGCCUUAGUGUAGCUCAUCGAAGUGGGACUCAACCAGCCUAAAGGGUAUGAUGAACUGAACACAUCCCAGUUCCCUGUCAUAACAUAUACUGUGUACCAUGCUGACAAGCGUUUGUUUUUAGCAUAGGUAAUCACUGAUAUGUUCUUUUAAGUGAGAUUCAUAGAUGCUGAUUACAUUUACUGCAUAAAUUACUUCAUUAUUAAAAUCAGGUCAUUUGAGCCCCAAAACCAUUAGCAUGCAAACUAUUAGCAUAAUUUCAUAAGCUAAUAAAUCAAGCACAGGAAAAGAAUUAAGCGGUUCCUAGUGAUAAGUGUUUCUUCAGAGAUUAAGAAACACAAUUUUCUUAUGCAUAUAUUAACAUUUUAAAAGUGAAUUCAUGCAAAAGCAAUUUUUCUGCAUAUAUAAAACUUAUGUUUAAUAAUCUUUAUAUUCAGCCUCCAGAGCUGUUUCAAAAUUAAUGUGUUUUUUGUUUUGUUUUUUGUUUUUUUUUAAAUCAAUGUACAGUAAUUUGACGUUGAACCAGCUAGCCUGUUUUGAUAUACUCUACCUGUAAAAAUCUUUAUGCCUUUAUUAAACAGUCAAAGCUAAGAAAUAAAAUAAGCCAAGAUAUGAUUUAGAAGAAAAAUAGCUUGGGCUCAUCUUAGAUAAUGAAAUGUUCAUCCAAGGUAAAUUUUGUACUCUUAAUCUUAAGCAGUACCAAUGAAAUUGUAAUUAUCUCCAUAAUUGCAAUCUAGAAUUGCAGUUGUCAUCUUAUUAAAAUGGUGCAUUAAAAUUGAUUUAAUUCCCAUUUCUUAUGUAAUAGAAUGUAAUAUUGGCCAGAAUAACACAGGGAUGGGCUCCUCUAUUCACUUCACUGACUAGAUUUAAAAUAAUACAGUAACACAACUGUAAUUAUUUGGAUGCUCAAAAGUUGCAUGGAAACAAUGCAAAUUCCAAUGUAAAUGAAACUGUAAUAAUCAGCAGAUGACACUACACAGGAAUUUUCUUAUGCUAUGAGGUGUCGAUGAUUUAUUAUGUUUAGUUUGUUUUGUUUUCUAGCUCCUAACCUACUGUUUUGGUCUAUUUAGCAUAUAUAUAUAUAUAUAUAUAUAUAUAUUCAGUAUGAGGCCCCCAAUGAUUUGCUCCAAGGAAUAAGAGAAUGUAAUGUUUUCAGAGUGGCACUUACCAUACUGGGGAAUUUUGGGUCUCUUGGUUCAUACAGCAAUACCACAGCUUCUGUCUUUUCUAACCGACGUGAAAAAUAGCUUUUAGUAGUUGUUUGUGCUUGCUGCUGUUUAAUGACCAACUUGACUAAGACAACACCAAGCUGAGAACUGCCUUUUUCGGGAGUGCUGGCAUGGUGCUGCCCAUCUCCCUGAGCUGGUUCACGAUGUGGCCAGCCAAGGACCACAGCUGGCACAAGGGAGGUGGAGAUGGCAUGCAAGAGGGGAAGUGCAGGGACAACCCUUUUCAUGGCAGCUGGUUAUUUUAUCAGUUUUGCUGCAAUUUGAAGCCACAGCCACCGCCACAUCAGAAAUGGUGGUGUCCCAAGUGCAUCAGUAGAAUCACUGAAUCAUAGAAUCAUAGAAUGGUCUGGGUUGAGAAGGACCUUAAAUAUCAUCUAGUUUCAACCCCCCUGCUCUGAGCAGGGUUGCCAACC